rnacentral:rRNA from 1 species
UACAGAGGUCCCAAGCGUUGUUCGGAUUCAUUGGGCGUAAAGGGUGCGUAGGUGGCGCCGUAAGUCGGGUGUGAAAUUUCGGAGCUUAACUCCGAAACUGCAUUCGAUACUGCGGUGCUUGAGGACUGGAGAGGAGACUGGAAUUCAUGGUGUAGCAGUGAAAUGCGUAGAGAUCAUGAGGAACACCGAUGGCGAAGGCAGGUCUCUGGGCCACUACUGACGCUGAGAAGCGAAAGCAUGGGGAGCGAACAGG